UGGGGGAUAUUGCGCAAUGGAGGAAACUCUGACGCAGCAACGCCGCGUGAAGGAAGAAGGUCUUCGGAUUGUAAACUUUUGUCUUCGGGGACGAUAAUGACGGUACCCGAGGAGGAAGCCACGGCUAACUACGUGCCAGCAGCCGCGGUAAUACGUAGGUGGCGAGCGUUGUCCGGAAUUACUGGGUGUAAAGGGUGCGUAGGCGGGUAGACAAGUCAGAUGUGAAAUCCCAUGGCUUAACUGUGGGACUGCAUUUGAAACUGUAUAUCUUGAGUGCAGGAGAGGUAAGCGGAAUUCCCAGUGUUGCGGUGAAAUGCGUAGAUAUUGGGAGGAACACCAGUGGCGAAGGCGGCUUACUGGACUGCAACUGACGCUGAUGCACGAAAGCGUGGGGAUCAAACA
rnacentral:rRNA from 1 species